GAAGUGCUUCUGGACCAGUUUUGUUUACAUCUUGCAAAAUUAUUAUUAGCCUACAGUGGUGUUUCAAUGAGACAAGGGAAGGAGACGUAGGAGUGAUGCACAAGUGAAACAGGAACUGAAAGACGAGAUAAUCCGUUGGAAACGAAGACUUAAAAAGGAGAAGAAACAUAAUAGGCUACGACUGUAAUGUGCAAAUCUUGACAGCCCAGAAGUUAAAACACAAACAGUUCUUCAAGGGGAAUGGAAUAACAAUACUGCAGGCCAGUGCCAGGGAAUUUUCCAGCAUCUCAUGGUCCGGAGCCGUGUCUACAUCAGGGAAUUCAUCUUGCAAUACAUGAAUCUGAGGAGGAGCUUCCAUCCCCUUUUUGUAAACGUUUCUGCACUUGUGUGGGACCACAGCUACCCGCCAAUGUCCUUGUGCACAUUUCAGGUUUUUUAGAGCGUCAGAUUUGGUGGCAGAUGCUGUACCUGCGUCUUUUGAUCAGAACUACCACUUUUCAGCAUUCACUGAAAAAAGACGUGUAUAAAUAUUUAACAAUUAACCAACUAAUUAAAAAUCAACCUCAAAACAUAACAUGCUAAAUGGGGGACCUCUAGAUCUAGCAAAAUUGUCAGAACAUCGUCUCUCAGUUGAAGAAUGUCGCACUGUUAGCAAAUGGUCUUUUUUUUUAUUCCAGAACAUUUGAUACAGUAUUUUCUAUUUAUUAUCUUUGAUAAAUUUACCUGACAUAAUAAAUUGUUACAUUUGAUGAUUCUUCUAACUGACUUUGAUAUUAUUUCAUUAGAGUUAAAGGAAUUAGUCAAACUUUCGCUUAUAUUCAAUGAUGAUAACAAUAAAAACCUUUUCAUUUAUGGAGUCAGAUGAAAUAACGAGUUAAUGCAUAAGAUAUAAUAUAUUGCAUUUAAUUAAAAAUCCCUUUGCCAUGAGAAAAGAUGGUUUGUCUUAAAGCAUAUUAAAAACACAAAAGACAUUUGAGGCAUUUCCAUCAAUUUCUGUAUUCAUAAAAAUAAAAUUAACAUGAAAAAGUAACGCUGUACAUUCAUAAGCAACAUA